rnacentral:rRNA from 1 species
UACGUAGGGUGCAAGCGUUGUCCGGAAUUAUUGGGCGUAAAGAGCUCGUAGGCGGUUUGUCGCGUCUGCUGUGAAAAUCCAGGGCUUAACCCUGGACCUGCAGUGGGUACGGGCAGACUGGAGUGCGGUAGGGGAGAUCGGAAUUCCUGGUGUAGCGGUGAAAUGCGCAGAUAUCAGGAAGAACACCCGUGGCGAAGGCGGCUCUCUGGUACGUGACUGACGCUGAGACGCGAAAGCGUGGGGAGCAAACAGG